rnacentral:rRNA from 1 species
GCAGCAGUAGGGAUCUUCCGCAAUGGGCGAAAGCCUGACGGAGCAACGCCGCGUGAGUGAUGAAGGGUUUCGGCUCGUAAAACUCUGUUAUUAGGGAAGAACAAAUGUGUAAGUAACUGUGCACAUCUUGACGGUACCUAAUCAGAAAGCCACGGCUAACUACGUGCCAGCAGCCGCGGUAAUACGUAGGUGGCAAGCGUUAUCCGGAAUUAUUGGGCGUAAAGCGCGCGUAGGCGGUUUCUUAAGUCUGAUGUGAAAGCCCACGGCUCAACCGUGGAGGGUCAUUGGAAACUGGGAAACUUGAGUGCAGAAGAGGAAAGUGGAAUUCCAUGUGUAGCGGUGAAAUGCGCAGAGAUAUGGAGGAACACCAGUGGCGAAGGCGACUUUCUGGUCUGUAACUGACGCUGAUGUGCGAAAGCGUGGGGAUCAAACAGGAUUAGAUACCCUGGUAGUCCACGCCGUAAACGAUGAGUGCUAAGUGUUAGGGGGUUUCCGCCCCUUAGUGCUGCAGCUAACGCAUUAAGCACUCCGCCUGGGGAGUACGACCGCAAGGUUGAAACUCAAAGGAAUUGACGGGGCCCCCC